rnacentral:rRNA from 1 species
UACGUAGGGUGCAAGCGUUAAUCGGAAUUACUGGGCGUAAAGCGUGCGCAGGCGGCUUUGCAAGACAGAUGUGAAAUCCCCGGGCUUAACCUGGGAAUGGCAUUUGGGACUGCAUGGCUAGAGUGUGGCAGAGGGGGGUGGAAUUCCGCGUGUAGCAGUGAAAUGCGUAGAGAUGCGGAGGAACACCGAUGGCGAAGGCAGCCCCCUGGGUUAACACUGACACUCAUGCCCGAAAGCGUGGGGAGCAAACAGG